AUGAACAUGGGGUUUGAACGAGAUCAUUUCUACAGGGAUGUGCUACUUCAGUACGCGUCAAGAACCAAGAUAAUAAAAGAUUGUAUCAUGGGAGCCCUGGCAAAUCUUCUAGAGCUCGAUGAGGAUUACUUCAUCAAUAGGACCACAACCAGGGCCCGAGCAUUAGCUAGGCUAGGCUACUACCCUCCAUGUCCGAGGCCUGACCUUGUUUCGGGCUUCAAGCCUCACUAUGAUGGUGGCGCCCUUUCAAUCCUUUUCGUCGAGGAGAACGUCGGUGGCUUGCAAGUUCUGAGAAAUGGAAAAUGGUACAAUAUUCUAGCCAAGCCUUAUACAUUGUUGAUCAACAUAGCAGAGUGCAUUGAGAGCCCACCACAUAGGGUCUUGACAAAUGCAGAGAAGGAAAGGACCUCAGUAGCUAUAUUCUAUGGCGUGGAUGUGGAAACGGUGGUUGAACCAGCACCUGGUUUGUUGGAUGAGAAGCGACUGGCAAGAUUCAAGAAAAUAAAGGCCGAGGAUUACUAUGGUACUGUCUUUGGGCAUUUCCGCCAAGGAAAAAGGCUUAUCAACACCCUGAUAAUUUAA
rnacentral:rRNA from 1 species